rnacentral:piRNA from 1 species
UACCUGCACGAUGGGAGCAAGACACUGAAA